ensembl:lncRNA
CAUCUAUGUCCAUGAGGGACACUGGUCUGUACUUUUCUUUUUUUUUGUAAUGUUUUUGUCUGGUUUUGGUAUCCAGGUAGUAUUGGCCUCAGAAGGAUUGGGGAAGUUUUGCCUCCUCUUCCAUUCUCUGGAAGAGUUUGUAAAACUAGUAUUAUUUCUUCCCUAAAUGUUUGAUAGAACUCCCCAGUGAAGCCAUCUGAGCCUGAAAUUUUCUUUCUGGGAAGAUUUUUUAGCUGCAAAUUCAAUUUCUUUAAUAGGCAGUUGGCUCUUCAGGUUGUCGUUUUCUUCUUGGGUGACUUUUGGUAAUUUGUAUCUUUCAAGGAAUUAGUCCAUUUCAUCUAAACUGUUGAAUUCGGUAAUAUAAAGUUGUUCAUAAUAUUCCCUUAUUAUCCUUUUAAAAUCUGUAGAAUCUGUAGUGGUGUCACCUCUCUCAUUCCUGAUGUUGGUCAUUUGUGUCUUCUUUCUCUUUUUGUCAGUCUUGCCAGAGGUUUGUCAAUUUUCUUUAUCUUAACGAAUCAUCUUUUGGAUUCAUUUAUUUUCUUUUUUCGAUUUCAUUGAUUUCCACUUUGACUUUACUAUUUCCUUCCUUCUGCUUACUUUGGGUUUAAUUUGCUGUUCUUUUUCUAGUUUCUUAAGGUAGAAGCUGAGGUCUUUGAUUUGAGGCCUUUCUUCUUUUCUGAUAUAGUUUUCCCCCUCACUUAUUCCCUAACUCGUGAAUUAUUUAUGUACUUUACUUUUACGUAGAUUACAAGCCUCUUAAUAGGUCAGUGAUAUUUUUAUUUCACCCUAAGCGCUAGGAUGAAGCUCCUAGGGGCAGUGAUGCCCAGGAGAGCCACUCAAGGGAACAGUGUGCCUCUAAAGUCAGUAGGUCAUAGAUCCAAGAGCUAGGAUUUGCCCCCAGCUGAGAUCCAUGGAAAGGGCACCUCAUAGCCUCAAUCCCGACCUAACCUUGCUUGAAAGUCUCACAGAAAUUGAGGAAGGUGAAGGAGUCCACGGAAGUGUCCGCCUCUCCAAGGAAACCACAUACUUGGGAGACACAGAUCCUAGCCAUAAAAGUUGAAAAUUUCUCAAGAAAUGGAAUUGGAAUAUUAUGGAUAAUUUAGGUUGAAGGGUCCAGAGGACGCUGCCCUUCCAUUGCUUCUUGGAUGAGGCCCCUUCAUCGAUUCUUCUCCCUUCCAGCCUCGAGAUCCUGCCUUGCACAUGUGACUGGCCAUUGGCAGGUUCCUGACAUACCAACGGGAUCUCCCUGCCCACCCCAGAGGCCCCCAAGGAUGGAGGUGGCAUCCAAUUUGCUGACCACAGCCUCUGGACUUUAUUCCAGCCCCAGGCCUUGGCCAGGGGUAAGCAGCUGGCUGGAGAGCCACGCCCAGACUCCAUGCUGGAAGGAAGGGGAAGCUAGGGAUGGGGUUGGGCAAGGCUGCCAACCAGGUCAGCUGUAGCUGCCAGGGUCCGUGUUGUCUGGCAGAAAGUAUCGCUGCAGGGUGGGCUGCAGGAGCAGUGGGGGCAGCGGACGGGCAGGUCUGGGCCAGCCUGGGGGGAAAGGCUGCAGUUCCACCCGUGGAAGUGGCAGCUUCAGCAUCCGGAUGGGGCCGUCAAGGGUGCGGCCUGCCCAGAGCCUGGAAACCAUCUGGCCUGGGGGCCAGCAUGACAGUGAGGGCUUGGUGUGGGGUUGAUAUCAGUGGGACCUGGGCUGGGGUAGAGGUCAGCUCCAAUUCUACCCCUGUCCCACUCACCCUUCAGUCUCAUUGGAGACCCCUGGACCUUGCCCUCCUGAAGCCGGAAGAAGGGGUAGUGCCUGGUGGGUAAGAAGGUGGGUUUGGCUCAGCCUGCCUCUCAGCCGCCCCAUGUAGGCCCGGCCCCAGCCUGUGCCUGGAGCCUUGAGGCCCACUCACCGCUGAUCCCGGGGCUGUGGCACCACUGUGUCGGGCACCUGUGGGUACAGGCUCAGCUGUGCACUCAGGCGCAGGCUCUUGGUCUCAGGCAGGGAGCUUUGCUGCCGUGCCUGCUGCUUGCAGAAGAAGUUGAGCGCAUCGAUUGUCUCCAGGUCCAGCAUGUGCACCUGUGACCACCGUGUCUGCUCCAGUGGCAGUGGCUCAUUGGGCAGUGUGGCCAGUGCCAAGGAGUGCAAGUGGACCCCAGGCAAGGAGAAGUGUGGCAGUAUCUCAGAGAUCCUGCGUCUCGUCGGACAAACACGUAGCUGUGAGAGCAUCUGCUGAGCCUGGCCCUCUGGGGUGGCCAAGUUUGGCUCCCCAGGCGAGACCACCAGUGAGGACAUCCGGGAUUGAACAGAGGGUGUCACAGAGAUGUGAAUGGGCAUCCCAGAGACCAUCGAAAUCUGUGAUAGGCCCUCCUUGGGAGGAGAGGGAAGUGCUGAGGUCUCAGAGAUCUUGGAUGGCAUCUCAGACAGCUGCAGGAUUUCCAUCUGUGGAGGAGGUGGCAAGUCCAGAACAUACCCCAGCCCAAGGCAGAGGCUGCCCCUCCCCCAACAAGUAGGUCCAAGUGGUGCUGCCUCUGGUUCCAAGCCUGAGACCCCGCUGCAGGCUCCCUCCCUGGGAAGAGCAUGAAGAUCCCAAGAGAGGGGGAUCAUGGAGGACAAAUGAUGCACAGAGCUGGAACGAGGCAAGGAGCCUGUCAGCCUCACCAGGCUCUCCCCGCUGGACUUGGGGAAAGCCUUGGGAGAAGGCAAGAGGCACCACUGGCAGGCGGCCCGCCCCACCCCUGCCAGCCCAGACCUGUAGCUGCUGGAUCAUUUCCUCCAGCUUCUGGCAGCAGCAUUUGCGCAGUGUGGCCUUGGAGUCGAGGUCCUGGCUGUGGACCCAGGUCAUCAUGUCCUUAAACAGGAAGCCCUGUGGGUCCUGGAGGCCUAGCGCAUCCAGCAGCUUCUUGAGCUCAGGCCUGGGACAGGUGUGGGUGGAUUAUCUGGCAGCCUCCCCCAGCUGGCAAGAAGGUGGGGUAGAGAGUGGGACUCACUGGCAGGAGGCUGGUGAGUAGAGGAAGAAGGACAUGAGUUCCAGCACCGCCUCGCGGGACUCCAUGGAGCAGGCCAUGAGCACCUGCAGUGCCAGCAUCACAAAGUGCUUCUGUGUCCUGUCCUGAGCGCAGAGGAGGGGAGCCUGAUGGGUGCUGAAAGCCCUGGGUGGGGCUGGCGGGGCGGGACUAGGGGCACACCUCGAAGCUGGGGGGCUGGUCCAGGUUGAGCAAGCGCAGGAGGAUGCCCUGCAGCCGGCUACAGAGGUCUUUGCUCAUAUCAGGCAGCAGCCUCAGCAGUGCCUGCAGGAUGUACACACGGUCCGCCCAGGAGGCCUCUUUCAGCAGGUCAGUGAACAGAGAGGCCAGGCCCUCCACCGUGCCCACCUCAGGGUACGCCUGCGGGGACCACAUGCUGAAACCCUGCCCUGCCCCAACCUGGUUCCUGUCUCCCUACCCUCCACCCCCCAGUCUGUGCUUCCCAGGCCUCCGAGACUCCCCCAAACCUCCAGGGUGAAGAUGGGGAACAGCUUUUUGAACCAGUUCUGGGAGACAAAAAAAUGCAGGAAGCUGGGCAGAUGCCCGUAGCGCUCUUCCCAGAACGAAUGCCCAUAGUAGGUCUCGGUCCGG